rnacentral:rRNA from 1 species
UUGAACGCUGGCGGCAUGCCUUACACAUGCAAGUCGAACGGUAGAGGGGCAACCCUUGAGAGUGGCGAACGGGUGAGUAAUAUAUCGGAACGUGCCCAGUCGUGGGGAUAACGCAGCGAAAGCUGCGCUAAUACCGCAUACGAUCUAUGGAUGAAAGCGGGGGAUCGCAAGACCUCGCGCGAUUGGAGCGGCCGAUAUCAGAUUAGGUAGUUGGUGGGGUAAAAGCCCACCAAGCCGACGAUCUGUAGCUG